rnacentral:rRNA from 1 species
CUGGCUCAGAUUGAACGCUGGCGGCAGGCCUAACACAUGCAAGUCGAGCGGAUGAAGGGAGCUUGCUCCUGGAUUCAGCGGCGGACGGGUGAGUAAUGCCUAGGAAUCUGCCUGGUAGUGGGGGAUAACGUCCGGAAACGGGCGCUAAUACCGCAUACGUCCUGAGGGAGAAAGUGGGGGAUCUUCGGACCUCACGCUAUCAGAUGAGCCUAGGUCGGAUUAGCUAGUUGGUGGGGUAAAGGCCUACCAAGGCGACGAUCCGUAACUGGUCUGAGAGGAUGAUCAGUCACACUGGAACUGAGACACGGUCCAGACUCCUACGGGAGGCAGCAGUGGGGAAUAUUGGACAAUGGGCGAAAGCCUGAUCCAGCCAUGCCGCGUGUGUGAAGAAGGUCUUCGGAUUGUAAAGCACUUUAAGUUGGGAGGAAGGGCAGUAAGUUAAUACCUUGCUGUUUUGACGUUACCAACAGAAUAAGCACCGGCUAACUUCGUGCCAGCAGCCGCGGUAAUACGAAGGGUGCAAGCGUUAAUCGGAAUUACUGGGCGUAAAGCGCGCGUAGGUGGUUCAGCAAGUUGGAUGUGAAAUCCCCGGGCUCAACCUGGGAACUGCAUCCAAAACUACUGAGCUAGAGUACGGUAGAGGGUGGUGGAAUUUCCUGUGUAGCGGUGAAAUGCGUAGAUAUAGGAAGGAACACCAGUGGCGAAGGCGACCACCUGGACUGAUACUGACACUGAGGUGCGAAAGCGUGGGGAGCAAACAGGAUUAGAUACCCUGGUAGUCCACGCCGUAAACGAUGUCGACUAGCCGUUGGGAUCCUUGAGAUCUUAGUGGCGCAGCUAACGCGAUAAGUCGACCGCCUGGGAUUCGCCCCG